CCUANGGGUGGCAGCAGUGAGGAAUUUUGGGCAAUGGGCGAAAGCCUGACCCAGCGACGCCGCGUGGGCGAUGAAGGUCUUCGGAUCGUAAAGCCCUGUGAGUUGGGAAGAAGUCUCUAUGUGCUAAUAUCACUUAGAGGUGACAGUACCAACAGAGGAAGCCCCGGCUAACUACGUGCCAGCAGCCGCGGUAAAACGUAGGGGGCUAGCGUUGUUCGGAAUUACUGGGCGUAAAGCGCGUGUAGGCGGUUUGGUAAGUCGGAAGUGAAAUUCCUAGGCUCAACCUAGGAACUGCUUUCGAAACUGUUGAACUUGAGUAUGGGCGGGGAGAGCGGAAUUCCCGGUGUAGCGGUGAAAUGCGUAGAUAUCGGGAAGAACACCAGUGGCGAAGGCGGCUCUCUGGACCAUUACUGACGCUGAGACGCGAAAGCGUGGGUAGCAAACAGGAUUAGAUACCCCUNUANUC
rnacentral:rRNA from 1 species